rnacentral:rRNA from 1 species
CGAGUGGUCGGGACGAUUAUUGGGCCUAAAGCAUCCGUAGCCGGUUUUACAAGUCCUCCGUUAAAUCCAGCUGCUUAACAGAUGGGCUGCGGAGGAUACUAUAAGACUAGGAGGCAGGAGAGGCAAGCGGUACUCAGUGGGUAGGGGUAAAAUCCGUUGAUCCAUUGAAGACCACCAGUGGCGAAGGCGGCUUGCCAGAAUGCGCUCGACGGUGAGGGAUGAAAGCUGGGGGAGCAAACCGG